AUAGAUUAAGUUAUUAAGGGCGCACGGUGGAUGCCUUGGCACUAGAAGCCGAUGAAGGACGUUACUAACGACGAUAUGCUUUGGGUAGCUGUAAGUAAGCGUUGAUCCAGAGAUUUCCGAAUGGGGGAACCCAGCAUGAGUUAUGUCAUGUUAUCGACAUGUGAAUUCAUAGCAUGUCAGAAGGCAGACCCGGAGAACUGAAACAUCUUAGUACCCGGAGGAAGAGAAAGAAAAAUCGAUUCCCU
rnacentral:rRNA from 1 species